rnacentral:lncRNA from 12 species
AUGAAGAACAAAGUCAAACUCUGCCAUUUAAUGGACACAGAAGAACUCAGCACAAGUCAGUCAUAUGCUUGCUUCUUCACGGCUCUUGGCUCUCAGCUUGUUGACCUGGGACUCGGCGAUGUCAGCGCGCUCAUGAGACUCCUCCAGCUCAUGCUGGACCUUCCUGUACCUGGACAGGUGAGUGUUGGCCUGCUCCUCCUCUUCUUCAGCUUGGCGUUUGUAGGCCUUCACUUUCAGCUGCAGCUUGUCUACCAGAUCCUGCAGGCGAGUCACGUUCUUCUUGUCUUCCUCAGUCUUUGGGUGUAAAAUUGUUUAUGGUCUUGGUUAAACUAAGUAAAUCAUCAUGAAAGGUGUUAAAUAUCUAAUUCGUGUGUAGUUUUACCUGGUAGGUGAGCUCCUUCACUCUCCUUUCAUAUUUGCGCACUCCUUUCACAGCGUCUGCACCACGUCUCUGUUCAGCUUCAACUUCAGCUUCCAACUCAUGCACCUUCAGUAGAGAGUUAUUGUUAUAACUGUAAAAUCUCUGCCAUGGCCAGUUCAUCUAAGGGUUACUCACACUAGGCGAUCUGAACCAUUCCCGAGCACCCCCAAAGUUCAUUUCUUUUGACUAGUGUGAUCACUCUGUACCAUAUCUGAGCCCGCUUGAAGAGGUGAGCCAGAGCAUGGUUCAGUUGGGCUCUGGCGUGAUACACAUGUAGUGUGGUCGCUAAC